rnacentral:rRNA from 1 species
AGCAGCCGCGGUAAUUCCAGCUCCAAUAGCGUAUAUUAAAGUUGUUGCAGUUAAAAAGCUCGUAGUUGAAUUUCGGGGUUAGUAGGUCGGUCGUGCCACAGGUAUGUACUGGUCUCACUGAUACCUCCUUCCUGAUGAACCGUAAUGCCAUUAAUUUGGUGUUGCGGGGAAACUGGACUGUUACUUUGAAAAAUUGAGUGUUUAAAGCAGGCCAACGCUUGAAUACAUUAGCAUGGAAUAAUGAAAUAGGACGUUCGAUCCUAUUUUGUUGGUUUCUAGGAUUGACGUAAUGAUUAAUAGGGAUAGUUGGGGGCAUUAGUAUUCAAUUGUCAGAGGUGAAAUUCUUGGAUUUAUUGAAGACUAACUACUGCGAAAGCAUUUGCCAAGGAUGUCUUCAUUAAUCAAGAACGAAAGUUAGGGGAUCGAA